GCUGCAAAGAAGAAAGGCCCAUUGACCUCAUUGCUAUCCAAAUUGUCUGCUAAGUUGAAAGGCCGGCCGGUCGAGCCUCCAGAGACACCAUCAACUUCACCGUCCUUAAUAAAUAAUAAGCUUGUACUGAAAGUUAUUUUGGUAGCUGGUAUAGCUGCUGGAUGGCAGUAUUACUUCAGAUGAGCACACGGGAGCAAGCUCAAAAACCAUUUUCUUCUUUCAAUCUGAAUGGAAAACAUGAUAGAACUAGGAUUAGUUAGAAGAGUGACUUGACCUUAUUUAUAUUUUGUAUUGUAUCCAAUUUUGUAUCAUUGAAUUAUUGAUUAAUCAAACUCCUUCAAAUAUGAUGUAGAUGAAAGUCUGAUAUAUAUAUAUAUAUAUAUAUAUAUAAAGAUGCAAAAGAAUCAACAUUCCAUGAUGGCUACACAUUUACAGUAGUGUAAAAAGGGUUUUCACUAGCGGCUAAAUAUUUUAGACGAGAUAAUUAAUAUGUUAUUUCAAGUCUUUUGCUGUUGAUUUAUGAAGAACUGUGCAUGUAUCUUUUGUUAAAAACGAAUGUAGUAGUCUUGUUGAAUGCAAGUUAAAUGGCGCAUUUGAAAUGUUAAACAAGUGACCAGUUACCCAUUUUAUGAAAAUAGUCAUUUGCCGUACAACAUAUUGCAAACAUUGAAGAAGUGUCGACAAGGAACAAUAAAAUGGUAAAUGACAUUCUUCGAAAAAGAUCAGAGAAUAUUAUUAUUUUAAUCCUCACCCUCUACUAAUAAUAAAUAUCAUUAUAUUUUAUGUUGAAUUCUUUAAAUUGUUUAAUCUUGUGUGCUAAUUGUUAUUUAAACCUUUUAGGUUUAGAUAAAUGAAUAAAGUCAUGUUGUCAAAAGAAAUUGUUCAUCUGAUUGAUCGAUUCUUACAAAGUGCAUGGCUCCGUGUGAAUUAAAUAAUACCCGACCAUUUGAGGUGUGAGUAUUCAGUCGUCAAGAGUGUCAACAGUUGUGUUCGUGUAGCAUGAUGCUUCAAUUUAUUUUUAUUUUUUUGUUAUUUGUUGAUUUUUUUUUCCCUGGAGAAAGGUAUAUAAACAGAAAAUUCAAAAUUCUGAGAAGUACCCAGAAAAAGGGUAAAGAAUCAGCAUCUGCAAACUUCCAACGGCGGUCUCUUCUGCGACAUUCGAGGCCUUUCCUCAAGCGCGUUAAGCAAGAAACUCAACUACAUUUAUUCCAAUACUUCCUAUUCCAAAUUCACGAAAGAGUUCAUCGUGGGAUUUCUACAAACAAAAAAGGUUUGAUCUCUCCUUCUUUUUCACAUUUUUGUCAUCUGGGCCUUUUGUUUUGCCUUGUUUUUCUUUCUAGCAAGAGUUAUGUGGCUUAUUUUGUUUGAUUUGAAAUUAUGCACGUUUUCUGUUUGAUGACAAAUUAAUUUCUAAUUGAUGUGAUGAUGUCUUCAGUUUGUCUUUUUAUAUUAUCUUUCCAUGCAAUGCAUAUAUUUAUUAUUUAUUAUUUAUUUUUUAAAUUCCAGGUUAUGUUUGUUUACAAUAGAGGGAAGAUGAUAGUAUAUUCUGGACAUUUAAAGGUGAAAAGGAAAUGUAAUAGCUUGGUAUUGCUAUGUAAUUAACAAGGGAAAGGCCCAAGAAAUUGGAUAAGUAAACUGCUGAAGUACUUUUUGAAAAAAAAUAAAAAAAAUGAUUGAUACUUUAGACAAAUUAUUAAAGAGAAAUCCAACUAUAGAAGUACUUUUCAUGUAGUGCAUCAUGAACCAUUUUUGUGUCAAUCGCGGCUCAGACCCCUUCAUUCCCGAAAACUGAUCAAUUCUAAUACUCUACAAAAGGACCAGUCUGGUGCUGAAUUUUGCUGUUUAUCUAUUUCAUAUUCAUGUGCUCUCUGUCUAUUAGCCUUUCAGACUAAUACUGUCGCCCCAUCUUAAUGCAUGCUGAUCUUUUUUGCUCGCAGCUGCAAAGAAGAAAGGCCCAUUGACCUCAUUGCUAUCCAAAUUGUCUGCUAAGUUGAAAGGCCGGCCGGUCGAGCCUCCAGAGACACCAUCAACUUCACCGUCCUUAAUAAAUAAUAAGCUUGUACUGAAAGUUAUUUUGGUAGCUGGUAUAGCUGCUGGAUGGCAGUAUUACUUCAGAUGAGCACACGGGAGCAAGCUCAAAAACCAUUUUCUUCUUUCAAUCUGAAUGGAAAACAUGAUAGAACUAGGAUUAGUUAGAAGAGUGACUUGACCUUAUUUAUAUUUUGUAUUGUAUCCAAUUUUGUAUCAUUGAAUUAUUGAUUAAUCAAACUCCUUCAAAUAUGAUGUAGAUGAAAGUCUGAUAUAUAUAUAUAUAUAUAUAUAUAUAAAGAUGCAAAAGAAUCAACAUUCCAU
rnacentral:lncRNA from 1 species